rnacentral:lncRNA from 1 species
CACCUGCUGCCAAUUAGCCAACCCUCUUCGUCAAGCUGUUGUUUGAAAAAAAUAACUGCGGCUCGCAACAUCAAAGAUGUUCCCCAAAUGAGAAAACGAUAUUACACACACACACUCCAUGGUUAGGAACGUCAUUUAUCUUCAUCUAUGGCAGACCAUCCUUGAGCGGCUCCGGCAGGAGCAAGUAAUUGAAAAACAGCUUUGGAGCUUCGAAUCCAUGUUAUUUAGCGGCGAUGAUAAUUGAUGACUCUCAGCUUGUGGAGUCCUGGGAGUCGUUUGUAUUCAUUAGUGUAAAUUCUAAUUAGGGUUUGUGAUUAAAAUGUGACUGUAACAGGCAGCGGGUUGCCGGGUGCGGAGACAGGCGCUGAUGAGACCUCUGGUUCGGGUCAUUGCCUCAGAGAUUUGCCCUUAACCAGUAGUGUCAUGGAUGAGGAGGACGACAGUCCUCACUGCCGGCUAGCGCCAUCAAUCUGUGUCUACUUCCAGUUGAGACAUCCGCUCUGAUGGACACUGCAUUUGCUUAAAGGAGAGAUAGGGAGAGUGCUCCGGGUAAGCAAUUAAAUAACCACAUGCAUGCAUACACGUGUCAUAGGCCAAUAGACCUAAAUGCAUGUGCACAUAUACACACAUUCCGGGAGAGACAAAACAUACUUAAUAAAAGUCACUGUGUAUCGUUCCAAAAGACUAGUUAGAAAUCAUCUUCACUUCACCCUAUAAUAAUAAUAAUACCUCUCUUUCCUGAAAAUUAUCCAUUGAAGAGUAGUCUUAUUAAUCCAUUAAUUAAAGAGCGACUGCACCUAAACCAUGUGGCAUCAAUAUGAGUCAAACAUUUAUUCUAGUGACAAAUUUACCACAAAGUGUAUAUAGGUUCAUUUUAAUCAUAAAGUCAAUCUCGUCUAAAACAGAGUUUGGAACCUCAGUGCGUCACAACGAGGAAAUUAAGGUUGGGUUUGGAUUUAAUUAUGUCAUCAAAUCAUGACCCCUUUUGCCAAGCUCCACCUGCAAAUUGCCCCCCGCCCACUUUGCGUCCCUUCAUUGAGGGCUCUGUUGUUUCAUGGCCAUUUAACACUGAAAAGCCCUAUACAGAUUGACCAUGCAAUGCAUCCAGCAGGGUGCACAGCCAACAACUAUGGUUGCAUGUCCUGCCAAAGGACCCUGCGGAAUAGGUGGUUGGAGUUUGUUGGUCCCCAGUGGUGGGAUGAUGACAAUCGUUGACCCUGUUUUUCUGUAAGACAAAGUGCACAGUUGGCUGCCAGACUUAUCCCCUGGUUAUGAAUGGACGACCUACCAGAAGGAGCUAAGCUUGUCAGGUAAGACCUCAGAAUAAAAGUGUAAUGCAACACAAGUACCCCUGUGACACCUCCUCCAUUGUUGCCAGUCUCCCUCGACUCCUAUGAAAAGGACAGCCCAUCCUGAGACCUCUGAUAGUGACCCGAGUUACUGUCCUGAUGACACAGACGGCUUCAUCAACAACGACAGGCAAUGUGUGUUAUGUGAAAAGUUGUAUUAAAAAAUACUCGACUUGAUAAACUAACAGGCUAAUUCCGCAGCCAAGCAGAUACAACUAGAGUCAUUUUUAGAACAAAAUGCAAUUUACCACUUGGCUGUCUGUUAUAUCACCCUGUCACAUGCCGUCCCAGUCAACACCACCACAUAAGAUUGCCUGCUGCAGUUGUUUAAGAGAUGUCCAGUUUGCAGCCGAACAUGCAGCAUAUAUACUGAACAAAAAUAUAAAUGCAACAAUUUCAACAAUUUUACUCAGUUACCGUUCAUAUAUGGAAAUCAGUCAAGUGAAAUAAAUUAAUUAGGCCCUAAUCUAUGGAUUUCACAUGACUGGGCAGGGGCGCAGUCAUGUAAGGGCAUAGGCCCACCCACUUGGGAGCCAGGCCCACCCACAGGGAAGCCAGGCCCAGCCAAUCAGAAUGAGUUUCCCCCACAAAAGGGCUUUAUUACAGACAGAAACAGUCUGCAGUUUCAUCAGGUGGCCGGUCUCAGAUGAUCCCACGGGGGAAAAAGUCGGAUGUGGAGGUCCUGGGCUGGCGUGGUUACACGUGGUUACACGUGGUCUGUAGUUGUGAGGCCAUUUGGACGUACUACCAAAUUCUGUAAAAUAACAUUGGAGGUGGCUUAUGGUAGAAAAAUUAACAUGAAAUUCUCUGACAACAGCUCUGGUGGACAAUCCUGCUGUCAGCAUGCCAAUUGCAUGCACCCUCAAAACUUCAGACAUCUGUGGUGUUGUUUUGUGUGACAAAACUGCACAUUUUAGAGUGGCCAUUUUUUAAACAUGGGCCCAACACUUCACAUGUUGCGUUUAUAUUUUUGUUCAGUAUAGAAGACCUAGCAAGGGGGCUCUCAUUAGCAUCAUGCAGACAUGCACUCGCUGUCAGCAUUCCAAUUAAUGGAACAGUCAGACAUGUGUUGGCAAUUAAUCUUGUGUGUGUGACCGACCAGUAUCUUUUAUGAGGGGCCAGAAACUGAUCUAUGCUGCUAUGUCCAUCAAUGGGGUUCUGGCAAAGACCUCACCUCCAGCCUCACCUCUUGCCUGCUCUUCAACGGUCGUCAAUGGGGAGAACAGAAUUAGGUUUAGACUGACUUCACCAAAGUAUAUGUUUGUGUGUCAGAUUUCACCUGUUCCGGGAUGCUGGCCUUCGAGGCAGAGUUUCUCUGUCCAGUGUCUGUGUUCUUUUACCCAUCUUAAUAUUUUAUUUUCAUUGCAACUCUUCUCGGGAGAGUUGCGAAGAAAAAGAUAUGGCUUAAAGUGACAAGUGAUCCAUUUAUUAAAGUGGCCAAUGAUUUCAAGUCUGUAUGUAGGCAGCAGCCUCUCUGUGUUAGUGAUGGCUGUUUAACAGUCUGAUGGCCUUGAGAUAGAAGCUGUUUUUCAGUCUCUCGGUCCCAGCUUUGAUGCACCUGUACUGACCUCACCUUCUGGAUGGUAGCGGGGUGAACAUGCAGUGCCUCGGGUGGUUGUUGUCCUUGAGGAUCUUUUUGACCUUACUGUGACAUCGGGUGCUGUAGGUGUCCUGGAGGGCAGGUAGUUUACCCCCAGUGAUGCAUUGUGCAGACCGCACCACCCUCUGGAGAGCCUUUACGGUUGUGGACGGUGCAGUUGCCAUACCAGGCGGUGAUACAACCCGGCAGGAAGCUCUCAAUUGUGCAUCUGUAAAAGUUUAUGAGGGUUUUAGGUGACAAGACACAUUUCUUUAGCCUCCUGAGGUUGAAGAGGCUCUGUUGCACCUUCUUCACCGCACUGUCUGUGUGGGUGGACUAUUUCAGUUUGUCCGUGAUGUGUACACCGAGGAACUUAAAACUUUCCACCUUCUCCACUGCUGACUUGUCGAUGUGGAAUGGGGGGUGCUCCAUCUGCUGUUUCCUGAAGUCCACAAUCAUCUCCUUUGUUUUGUUGACAUUGAGUGAGAGGUUGUUUUCCUGACACCACACUCCAAGUGCCCUCACCACCUCCCUGUAGGCUGUCUCGUCGUUGUUGGUAAUCAAGCCUACUACUGUUGUGUCGUCUGCAAACUUGAUGAUUGAGUUGGAGGUGUGCAUGGCCACGCAGUCAUGGGUGAACAGGGAGUACCGGAGGGGGCUGAGCACGCACCCUUGUAGGGCCCCAUUGUUGAGGAUCAGUGAAGUAGACAUGUUGUUUCCUACCUUCACCACCUGGGGGCGGCCCAUCAGGAAGUCCAGGACCCAAUUGCACAGGGCGGGGUUGAGACCCAGGGCCUCAAGCUUAAUGAUGUGCUUGGAGGGUACUAUGGUGUUGAAUGCUGAGCUAUAGUCAAUGAACAGCAUUCUUACAUCGGUAUUUGUCUUGUCCAGAUGGGAUAGAGCUGUGUGCAGUGUGACGGCGAUUGCAUCAUCUGUGGACCUAUUGGGACGAUAAUCAAAUUGAAGUAGGUCUAGGGUGACAGGUAAGGUAGAGGUGAUAUGAUCCUUGACUAGUCUCUCAAAGCACUUCAUGAUGACAGAAGUGAGUGCUACAGGGCAAUAGUCAUUUAGUUCAGUUACCUUUGCCUUCUUAAGUACAAGAACAAUGGUGGCCAUCUUGAAGCAUUUGGGGACAGCAGACUGGGUUAGGGAAAGAUUGAAUAUGGCCGUAAACACACCAGCUAGCUGGUCUGCGCAUACUCUGAGUGACUGUGUGUAUGUGUUCACAGAUGCAGAGAGACCUGGGGCCUCAUUCUCAACCGUGUAUAUCACAAAUCUGUGUGUAAACCAUACAGGGGAUCAUUUCCACACGUAGUGUGAGAUUUAUCAAUAUGAAUGUUUGCUUGAGUGUGGUUAAAUUUACUCACAGCCAUGACCAUGCGUAAGCACAGUGCCAAGUGGUUUAGUAAGGGAACUUCUUGUCAAGUGUAGAAUGGGGAAGAUGUAUGUUGAAAAUGUGUGAAAUAUAUGUUGAAAAUGUAAUAAUUAAAUAAUAACAUUAUUUCAUUGUAUUUCCACUCUGAAUUAAUGCAACAUAUCUUUUAUGAUUUUUAUUGAUCCAUCCACCACCACCCCUCUUCAGAGGACAAAAGUAACUUUGUUUUUUGCAACAUAUCUUGACAUGCUAUGUAAUUUGACCACAUCAGUGCAUUUGUUUACAAUAAUAAUCCAUAUGAAGUACAGUAAUUUGUUAAAUGAGA